rfam:Stegodyphus mimosarum contig33714, whole genome shotgun sequence.
GCCUUCGUGGUGUAAUGGUAACACACUCGGCGCGUAUUCGAGAGGUCCAGAUUCAAGUCCCGGUGAGGGCA